GACGACGCUGGCGGCGCGCUUAACACAUGCAAGUCGUGCGGUGUCGAAGGCAAGUCUUACGACAAGCCUUCGACACAGCGGCGAACGGGUGAGUAACACGUGAGUAGCUGUCCUAAGGAGGGGGAUAACGCCUGGAAACGGGUGCUAAUACCCCAUAUGCCUCGCAAGAGGUAAAAGUGUACUUGUUACAGCCUUAGGGUGUGCUCGCGGCCUAUCAGCUAGUUGGUGAGGUAACGGCUCACCAAGGCUAAGACGGGUAGCCGGCCUGAGAGGGUGUACGGCCACACUGGAAUUGAGAUACGGUCCAGACUCCUACGGGAGGCAGCAGUGGGGAAUCUUGGGCAAUGGGCGAAAGCCUGACCCAGCGACGCCGCGUUGGGGAUGAAGCCCUUCGGGGCGUAAACCCAUGUUGUAGGGGACGAAGAAAGUGACGGUACCCUACGAGAAAGCCCCGGCCAACUACGUG
rnacentral:rRNA from 1 species